UACGUAGGGUGCAAGCGUUGUCCGGAAUUAUUGGGCGUAAAGAGCUCGUAGGCGGUUUGUUGCGUCGGCUGUGAAAUCCCGAGGCUCAACCUCGGGUCUGCAGUCGAUACGAGCAAACUAGAGUGUUGCAGGGGAGACUGGAAUUCCUGGUGUAGCGGUGAAAUGCGCAGAUAUCAGGAGGAACACCAAUAGCGAAGGCAGCUCGCUGGGACGGUACUGACACUAAGGCGCGAAAGCGUGGGGAGCGAACAGG
rnacentral:rRNA from 1 species